GGUCUCUGUGUUGGGCGUCUGUCUGCCCGCAUGCCUGCCUCUCUGUUGCUCUGAAGGAGGCAGGGGCUGGGCCUGCAGCUGCCUGCGCAGAGCGG
rnacentral:pre_miRNA from 1 species